rnacentral:snoRNA from 1 species
AGCACCUGUUUUUGUUGAAGACAUAAAGGACAGGUGCAAAACUAAACCCCCUUUGCUACUCAGAAUUCAUGGUUCAUUCUGAGUUCUGAUACAUAGAUGUGAUACU